GACCUGGCCGGGCGGUCCGCCUAACGGCGUGUACUGUCUGGCCGGGCCUUACCUCUUGGUGAGCCUUCAUGCCCUUAAUUGGGUGUGUCGGGGAACCAGGACGUUUACCUUGAGAAAAUUAGAGUGUUCAAAGCAGGCCUAUGCCCGAAUACAUUAGCAUGGAAUAAUGAAAUAGGACGUGCGGUUCUAUUUUGUUGGUUUCUAGAGUCGCCGUA
rnacentral:rRNA from 1 species